UAGCAAGCUUAGAAAAGACUAAAGGGGCACCAGGAAGUAAAGCUGAAUCCUUCAUUUAAGGAGAUAAACACAACACCAACUUUUAAAGUUGGAGUGAUAUAGGGUUCAGGGAGUGGCACUAUUAGGAGGUGUGACCUUGUUGGAGGAAGUCUGUCACUGUGGGGAUGGGUUUAGAGACUCCUAGCUACCUGAGGAUGCCAGGACAAGAUCCCACCCAGCUAAGGUUGUUUGUGUUUACUUUCAUCUGGAUUUUUAAUACAUUUAUGAUCCAGAUCUUGAGACUGGAAGACACAGACCUUUUUGAUCUAGAUCUUGAGGAAUAGUGGCCAUGAAGAGUUUAGGUCUACGAAUGGUAGUACACACUUUUAAUCCCAGGAGACAGGCAAGCAGAUCUCUAAAUUCAAAGUCAGCUUGGGACAGAG
rnacentral:lncRNA from 1 species